ensembl:lncRNA
AUAGCGAAGGGUGUAUGGUAUUAGGAGCAACAGAUAGGAAAGUAAGUCAUUUAUGAAUUUGUUGCACGCAUGCACAAUUAUAACAGAUUAUUUAAUGUGUAAAGCUGGAGAAGUUUUUUUACAAAGCAGUCAUAAUUCAUGUUUUAAAACUUUCAAUACCAACAACAGUAACUUUAGAGUUUGCUUGGAAACAUUGUUCUCUGUUCAUUUUCUUGGCUGAAAUUUGCACAUGACCACAGAAUAAGAAAACUCCACUUGAGCAACAUUUCGGUUUUUCUAAUGCUAAGAAGCAGCUGAGACAAUUUUCACAAGUCUAGAACAUUAACAAAUUCAACUUAUCUUGGGCCAAUGCUGAUUUUGAAGACAGUACUUAACCCACCGGCUGCUUCCAAAUUACUUCCUGCUUCAUUCAGAUUUUUAUUGGAGAACUGUCAUCCUGCUACUGACCCCAUUCAACUGGGCUGCCUUAAGAGAUCAGCGGAUUACCGCGCUAGGUAGGGUAGCUGUACGCCAUAUUGUGUUUUCCGCUCAUGUUUAUAGUUUGUGUGCCUAGCAUAUGUUUGUGCAAGUGUGUUUAUCAAUAGAACUUUUAGAAAAUCCCUGCCUCCUGCCUCUUCAGCAUCCUUAAAAAGGAUAACAGCUUCAAGAGGGGCGGGGCGUGGGGCGGGAAAAGACCAGAAUGCCACACGGAUAGUAAUGCAUUAAACAAUGUAAAACAGUGCAUUUCUUGCAAACUUUUAAAAAGCUUCCAACCAUUUCUCUCGGCUAGUGAAAACCGUAAGCAUUUUUUUUUUUCUUUUUAAUGUUUCCACGGGGGCCCACAGGAGGAGAGAAAGAAGGAAAGGAGUGUCUUCCCUUCCCAAGCCCCCUCCUCUAGAGUCGUAGCAGCGAAGCAGGCGGCGGCCGGUAGCUCGGGCGUCUGGAGGGGCGUCCAGCGACUCUGGGGCCAGGACCCCUCCCGCCCCCCAGUUCUCAGAAGACGCUCCAGAGACCGCCAGAGCCACGGCAAGCGGGGGGAGGGCGAGAAGGGAGGGGGCGGAAGACAAGCGGGCGCCUCUAGUAGCUCCUGAGCCCAGGCUAGUCCCCCUCAGCUCCUCUUCUUGGAAGCGGCAACUCCAGGCGCGGGGACUCCUCGCGCUCUUUAAUCUUCUUUCC